rnacentral:hammerhead_ribozyme from 1 species
AUCCAGCUGACGAGUCUUCAAGUAGGACGAAGCGCGCGUCCUCGAU